rnacentral:rRNA from 1 species
ACCCUGAUCCAGCCAUGCCGCGUGUGUGAAGAAGGCCUUUUGGUUGUAAAGCACUUUAAGCAGUGAAGAAGACCUAACGGUUAAUACCCGUUAGCGAUGACAUUAGCUGCAGAAUAAGCACCGGCUAACUCUGUGCCAGCAGCCGCGGUAAUACAGAGGGUGCAAGCGUUAAUCGGAAUUACUGGGCGUAAAGCGAGCGUAGGUGGCUUGAUAAGUCAGAUGUGAAAUCCCCGGGCUUAACCUGGGAACUGCAUCUGAUACUGUUAAGCUAGAGUAGGUGAGAGGGAAGUAGAAUUCCAGGUGUAGCGGUGAAAUGCGUAGAGAUCUGGAGGAAUACCGAUGGCGAAGGCAGCUUCCUGGCAUCAUACUGACACUGAGGCUCGAAAGCGUGGGUAGCAAACAGGAUUAGAUACCCUGGUAGUCCACGCCGUAAACGAUGUCUACUAGUCGUUGGGUCCCUUGAGGACUUAGUGACGCAGCUAACGCAAUAAGUAGACCGCCUGGGGAGUACGGCCGCAAGGUUAAAACUCAAAUGAAUUGACGGGGGCCCGCACAAGCGGUGGAGCAUGUGGUUUAAUUCGAUGCAACGCGAAGAACCUUACCUGGUCUUGACAUACACAGAAUCUUGUAGAGAUACGAGAGUGCCUUCGGGAAUUGUGAUACAGGUGCUGCAUGGCUGUCGUCAGCUCGUGUCGUGAGAUGUUGGGUUAAGUCCCGCAACGAGCGCAACCCUUGUCCUUAGUUACCAGCGGGUUAAGCCGGGAACUCUAAGG